UACGUAGGGGGCAAGCGUUGUCCGGAUUUAUUGGGCGUAAAGAGCGUGUAGGCGGCCAGGUAGGUCCGGUGUGAAAACUCGAGGCUUAACCUCGAGAUGUCAUCGGAAACCAUCUGGCUAGAGUCCGGAAGAGGAGAGUGGAAUUCCUGGUGUAGCGGUGAAAUGCGCAGAUAUCAGGAAGAACACCAAUGGCGAAAGCAGCUCUCUGGGACGGUACUGACGCUGAGACGCGAAGGCGUGGGGAGCGAACAGG
rnacentral:rRNA from 1 species